UUAAAUUGAGAGUUUGAUCCUGGCUCAGGAUGAACGCUGGCGGCGUGCCUAAUACAUGCAAGUCGUACGCUAGCCGCUGAAUUGAUCCUUCGGGUGAAGUGAGGCAAUGACUAGAGUGGCGAACUGGUGAGUAACACGUAAGAAACCUGCCCUUUAGUGGGGGAUAACAUUUGGAAACAGAUGCUAAUACCGCGUAACAACAAAUCACACAUGUGAUCUGUUUGAAAGGUCCUUUUGGAUCGCUAGAGGAUGGUCUUGCGGCGUAUUAGCUUGUUGGUAGGGUAGAAGCCUACCAAAGCAAUGAUGCGUAGCCGAGUUGAGAGACUGGCCGGCCACAUUGGGACUGAGACACUGCCCAAACUCCUACGGGAGGCUGCAGUAGGGAAUUUUCCGCAAUGCACGAA
rnacentral:rRNA from 1 species